UAGGGAAUCUUCGGCAAUGGACGAAAGUCUGACCGAGCAACGCCGCGUGAGUGAAGAAGGUUUUCGGAUCGUAAAACUCUGUUGGUAGAGAAGAACGUUGGUGAGAGUGGAAAGCUCAUCAAGUGACGGUAACUACCCAGAAAGGGACGGCUAACUACGUGCCAGCAGCCGCGGUAAUACGUAGGUCCCGAGCGUUGUCCGGAUUUAUUGGGCGUAAAGCGAGCGCAGGUGGUUUAUUAAGUCUGGUGUAAAAGGCAGUGGCUCAACCAUUGUAUGCAUUGGAAACUGGUAGACUUGAGUGCAGGAGAGGAGAGUGGAAUUCCAUGUGUAGCGGUGAAAUGCGUAGAUAUAUGGAGGAACACCGGUGGCGAAAGCGGCUCUCUGGCCUGUAACUGACACUGAGGCUCGAAAGCGUGGGGAG
rnacentral:rRNA from 1 species